UUACUCUCCUGCUCUGCUCCAGCCUGAUGAGACCCCACCCACAAGACUGCAUUCAGCUGUGGGGCCCCCAGUACAAAAAAUAUAUGAUCUUGUUAAAGAAGGUUGAAAGGGCAACAAAUAUCAUCAGAGGGCUGGAGCAUCUAUCUUAGGAAGAAAGGCUGAGAGAGUUGGGGAUAUUUACCCUGGAGAAAGAUCCUGGGAGACCUCAUUGAAGUCUUUCACUACUGGAAGAGAAUUUAUAAGAAAAACUCAGAAAGAAUUUUUUACUAAAAAGAGUAUGGUGUGACAGUGGAACAAAUUGCCUGGAGAAGCUGUAGAUGCCCCAUCACUGGAGUUGUUCAAGGUGGUUGGAUCUGGACCUAAAUCAUGGGAAGUGAAAGAAGCAGAAUAUCACCUGAUUUCCUUUAUUAGUUUCAAAUUUCAAUGAAGAAAAAGAAAACGUUAUUCUUGAUGAAAUCUGGAAAAUUUAAAAGCAGUUCACAACAAAUGUAAAAAAAUCAGCAAAAGACAAAUUUCGGAUUUUGAGAUUUUCAGAUAGCUGAGGGCAUCACUAUGAUGCUCAUGAAGGUUUGACAACAUAUGGAUGGGUACUUGACAUACAUUGAAACUUCAAGAACACAUUUUUUGUCAUAUCAGGCUUUUCAUAUAAUGGCUUACAACUAAUCAGUGUGAAAAAACCAUGCAGAUGGUUAUGUACACAUAGCCUGAGGGACAGUUUUGUGUCAUUUUAUUUCUUUAAUGGAUAUAUUAAAAAAAGUUUAUUAAUAACCUAUUUAUUGUAUGAAAGGGAAUGUAUCUUUAAGGUACUCUCCAAUUUAAUUUAGAAAGAGUUAUUGUGUAAUAUGGAUGCUCAUUUAAUACCAUGCUGAUUUUCUAUAAAAAACCCACUAAAAUUCACUUCUCUUGGAUUCCUUUACUUUGACCACUAAAGAUCAUGGUGAUCAAUUCUCAGAAAGCGAAAACUCAUGUCCUGCUGUGGAUAGCAAUUGUGGCCUAUUGCACCUUUGGGACUACCCAUCAUGAAGAUUUCUGUUUAUCUGGAAAGCACCCAGUGAGGGUAGACACCUAAGCAAUAUACCUAUAUUUAAAAGCACUUAAAUAGUAUGUGUCUGUUGCUUAAGGAAGAGGCUUCUGUACUCAAAUUAUAGAAGAAAAAGGAAAAGAGAUGGGAAGGUGAUGUCUGUGAUUACAUCAUUCUGCAAUAGCUGUCCUCAUCUGUACUUGUGGCAUGCUUUGCGAUUUCACAGCAUUGUCAGAUUGGGAUUGAUUUGCAAACUAGAAAAAAAAAAUUAUUUCUGGUCUUCUGGGGAAAAAAUACAAUGUGAGAAUUGAGAAAUGCCUUAAUGUUUGAGGGGAAAAAAAUGGGAGAAAUUUUAAUUGUCAGUCUAAUUGCUAAUAGAAUUACAAUAUAGUAUACAUACAUCUCUGUUUCAUUCAGUGGGAAAUGCUGAUUAAAAUCCUUUUUUUACUGUGACCUAAUGCUAAGAACUGACAAAAAAAUAGAAGAAACUGCAAACAAAGUGCAACCUAGCACUCAAGGGAAAGGUUGGAUGAGAAAGAACAGCAUUACUACCAUAGCAACAAUCUGUCGUGUACAGAGUUUCUGAGGUUUAAAUGCAGCUUUAUCAAUUUAGUGGGUGAGGGAGGUGUCCAGCUGUAAUAUUUUUAUGUCUAAAUCUUAAAUUUUGGCUUCCAGCUUUGGAGAUAUUUUUUUCUUGGUAUUAAAUCUGUUCCACUGAAAUGAUGCUAAAUUGGUUCACGGUAAUAAAUAAAACAGGUCUAAUAAAACAGGUGGAUUUAGAAAAUGAAAAAUUAUAAUGCAAUAGAGAUCAGUUACUGGUGAAAACAAAAAAAAAUUGUAUUGCCAUAAUAUUAAUUUAAGCAAAUGAACAUCUAGUCUAUGAAAUAUGAACUGAAGAGAUUAAAAUGGAAUCUAAUCUCAUGAGAGCUGAAAAGAAGGGCAGAAACAAUGACAAACCACAA